GACGAACGCUGGCGGCGUGCCUAAUACAUGCAAGUAGAACGCACAGUUUAUACCGUAGCUUGCUACACCAUAGACUGUGAGUUGCGAACGGGUGAGUAACGCGUAGGUAACCUGCCUGGUAGCGGGGGAUAACUAUUGGAAACGAUAGCUAAUACCGCAUAAUAUUGAUUAUUGCAUGAUAAUUAAUUGAAAGGUGCAAUUGCACCACUACCAGAUGGACCUGCGUUGUAUUAGCUAGUAGGUGAGGUAACGGCUCACCUAGGCGACGAUACAUAGCCGACCUGAGAGGGUGAUCGGCCACACUGGGACGGAGACACGGCCCAGACUCCUACGGGAGGCAGCAGUAGGGAAUCUUCGGCAAUGGACGAAAGUCUGACCGAGCAACGCCGCGUGAGUGAAGAAGGGUUUCGGAUCGGAAAGCUCUGUUGUAAGAGAAGAACGGGUGUGAGAGUGGAAAGUUCACACUGUGACGGUAUCUUACCAGAAAGGGACGGCUAACUACGUG
rnacentral:rRNA from 1 species